rnacentral:rRNA from 1 species
GACGAACGCUGGCGGCGUGCCUAACACAUGCAAGUUGAGCGAGAUGCUCAAAAACAGAUCCCUUCGGGGUGAAGAUUUGAGUAUUCUAGCGGCAAACGGGUGAGUAACGCGUGAGAAACCUGCCUUUCACAAAGGAACAGCCUCGGGAAACCGGGAUUAAUGCCUUAUGAUACUAUAAGAUCACAUGGUCUAGUAGUUAAAGCGUAAAGCGGUGAAAGAUGGUCUCGCGUCCCAUUAGCUAGUUGGUAAGAUAACUGCUUACCAAGGCGACGAUGGGUAACCGGCCUUAGCGGGCGAACGGUCACACUGGAACUGAGACACGGUCCAGACUCCUACGGGAGGCAGCAGUGGGGAAUAUUGCACAAUGGAGGAAACUCUGAUGCAGCGACGCCGCGUGAAUGAUGAAGGCUUUCGAGUCGUAAAUUCUGU